rnacentral:rRNA from 1 species
CACUCCUACGGGAGGCAGCAGUGGGGAAUUUUGGACAAUGGGCGAAAGCCUGAUCCAGCAAUGCCGCGUGAGUGAAGAAGGCCUUCGGGUUGUAAAGCUCUUUUGUCAGGGAAGAAACGGUGAGAGCUAAUAUCUCUUGCUAAUGACGGUACCUGAAGAAUAAGCACCGGCUAACUACGUGCCAGCAGCCGCGGUAAUACGUAGGGUGCAAGCGUUAAUCGGAAUUACUGGGCGUAAAGCGUGCGCAGGCGGUUUUGUAAGUCUGAUGUGAAAUCCCCGGGCUCAACCUGGGAAUUGCAUUGGAGACUGCAAGGCUAGAAUCUGGCAGAGGGGGGUAGAAUUCCACGUGUAGCAGUGAAAUGCGUAGAUAUGUGGAGGAACACCGAUGGCGAAGGCAGCCCCCUGGGUCAAGAUUGACGCUCAUGCACGAAAGCGUGGGGAGCAAACAGGAUUAGAUACCCCGGUGUCCC